AUUGAACGCUGGCGGCAGGCCUAACACAUGCAAGUCGAGCGAGCGGCGGACGGGUGAGUAAUGUCUGGGAAACUGCCUGAUGGAGGGGGAUAACUACUGGAAACGGUAGCUAAUACCGCAUACCAUCAGAUGUGCCCAGAGUGGAUUAGCUAGUAGGUGGGGGAAUGGCUCACCUAGGCGACGCUCCCUAGCUGGUCUGAGAGGAUGACCAGCCACACUGGGACUGAAACACGGUCCAGACUCCUACGGGAGGCAGCAGUGGGGAAUAGUGCACAAUGGGCGCAAGCCUGAUGCAGCCAUGCCGCGUGUAUGAAGAAGGCCUUAGGGUUGUAAAGCACUUUCAGCGGGGAGGCGUUACUCGCAGAAGAAGCACCGGCUAACUCCGUGCCAGCAGCCGCGGUAAUUC
rnacentral:rRNA from 1 species